rnacentral:rRNA from 1 species
GACGAACGCUGGCGGCGUGCUUAACACAUGCAAGUCGAACGGAAAGGCCCUGCUUUUGUGGGGUGCUCGAGUGGCGAACGGGUGAGUAACACGUGAGUAACCUGCCCUUGACUUUGGGAUAACUUCAGGAAACUGGGGCUAAUACCUGAUAGGAGCUCCUGCUGCAUGGUGGGGGUUGGAAAGUUUCGGCGGUUGGGGAUGGACUCGCGGCUUAUCAGCUUGUUGGUGGGGUAGUGGCUUACCAAGGCUUUGACGGGUAGCCGGCCUGAGAGGGUGACCGGCCACAUUGGGACUGAGAUACGGCCCAGACACCUACGGGAGGCAGCAGGGGGGAAUAUUGCACAAUGAGCGGAAGCAUGAUGCAGCAACGCCGCGUGCGGGAUGACGGCCUUCGGGUUGUAAACCGCUUUCGCCUGUGACGAAGCGUGAGUGACGGUAAUGGGUAAAGAAGCACCGGCUAACUACGUG